rnacentral:rRNA from 1 species
UACGGGGGGGGCAAGCGUUGUUCGGAAUUACUGGGCGUAAAGGGCCAGUAGGCGGCCAACUAAGUCCGACGUGAAAUCCCCAGGCUUAACCUGGGAACUGCGUCGGAUACUGGAUGGCUUGAAUUCGGGAGAGGGAUGCAGAAUUCCAGGUGUAGCGGUGAAAUGCGUAGAUAUCAGGAGGAACACCAAUUGCGAAGGCAGCUCGCUGGGACGUAACUGACGCUGAGACGCGAAAGCGUGGGGAGCAAACAGG